UACGAAGGGUGCAAACGUUGCUCGGAAUUAUUGGGCGUAAAGCGCACGUAGGCGGCUUAGCAAGUUGGAUGUGAAAUCCCUCGGCUCAACCAAGGAAGUGCAUCCAAAACUGCUGAGCUUGAGUACUAAAGAGGAUCGCGGAAUUCCCGGUGUAGAGGUGAAAUGCGUAGAUAUCAGGAGGAACACCGGUGGCGAAGGCGGGUCUCUGGGCCGAUACUGACGCUGAGGAGCGAAAAGCGUGGGGGAGCGAACAGG
rnacentral:rRNA from 1 species